UAGUCUGCAACUCGACUACAUGAAGCUGGAAUCGCUAGUAAUCGCGAAUCAGAAUGUCGCGGUGAAUACGUUCCCGGGUCUUGUACACACCGCCCGUCACACCAUGGGAGUUGGGAAUGCCCGAAGCCGGUGACCUAACCGAAAGGGAGGAGCCGUCGAAGGCAGGCUUGAUAACUGGGGUGAAGUCGUAACAAGGUAGC
rnacentral:rRNA from 1 species